rnacentral:rRNA from 1 species
GAAAUCUAAUUACUUUGGAAGAAAUUCAUUUUUUGAAAUAUAAAAUUUAGUGAAGUAAAACAUUUUAGUAACUAAAAAAAAAUCAACCGAGAAAUCGUAAGUAGUGGCGAGCGAACGCGAUAUGGACGAUACAUUUAAGUUCAUAUUAAAAUCCAUAGAGGGUGAAAGUCCCGUAGAUAUUAAAAUUUAAAUGUAAAUUAAAAGCGGAUUAUGUUAAAUUUGCUGAUAUAUUGAGGAUCUACCCUCAAGUCUAUUAAAUCUUUAAUGACCGAUAGUGAACAAGUACCGUAAGGGAAAGGUGAAAAAGAACUUUUUUAGAGUAAAAAGAAUCUAAAAUUCAAUGCGUACAAUCGGUUGGAGCUUUAUUUUAAAAGUUACAGCGUACCUUUUGCAUAAUGGGCCAGUGAUUUUUUAUUUAUGGCAAGUUUAACUAUAAUUAGUAUGCGUAAAUAACUUGAUGUUUUAAACAAAGCGAUUAAGUCAUAAGUAAAAGACCCGAAGCUGAGUGAUCUAACCAUGAACAGGUUGAAAAAAUUGUGGAAACACAUUUUGGAGGACCGAACCCGUGUCUGUAGAAAAAUACUGGGAUGAUUUGUGGUUAGGAGUGAAAGGCUAAUCAAACUCAGGUAUAGCUGGUUUUCUGCGAAAUAUAUUUUAGUAUAGCCUGCAAAUUUAAGUUAAAAUAGGGUAGAGCACUUUUUAAGCAAGGGGGAUAAUUUAUCUUACUGAGUUUUGAAAAACUCCGAAUAUGUUUUAAUUUUUUGUGGAGUCAGACAAUGGGUGCGAAGGUCCAUUGUCGAGAGGGAAACAGCCCAGAUUAUAUGAUAAGGUCUUCAAUUGUAAAUUAAGUGAUAAGAAUGUUAAAAGAUUAAUACAAUUAUAAAGUAGGCUUGGAAGCAGCCAUCUUUUUGAGAAAGCGUAACAGCUCAUUAAUCUAGUCUUUUUGCUUCGAAAAUGUAUGGAGGCUAAAAUUUACAACCGAAUCAGUAAAAAAUUUGGUAGCAGAACGUUCGGUAAGUCGAUGAAGAUACUUUGUAAAAAGUAUUUAAGAUAUCCGAAGUGAGUAUACUGGCAUUAGUAGCUAUAAACAAUGUUUAAUCAUUGUCGCCGUAAAUCUAAGGUUUUCGAUACAACACUUGAUGAUAUCGGAAAAAGUUAAUUCGACCCCUAAGGCAAAUUACAAAAGUAUAAGCUGAUGGGAUUUUUAAUGUGACAAAAUAAAAAAAAUAUUAUUGAUUUAUUGAUUUAUCAAGGUAUUUUAUUAUUUUCAGGAAAUAGCAUUAAUAAAGAAAAUCGUACCCUAAACCGACUCAGGUAGAUGAGUAGAAUAUACUAAGGCGUUCAGGGUAAUUGUGUUGAAGGAACUCGGCAAAUUAGCUCUAUAACUUCGGGAGAAGGAGUGACGUGACUCGGGAAACCGUAUUACGUUGGCACUAAAGAGGGAGAAACAACUGUUUAACAAAAACACAGGUCUUUGCAAAUUUGAGAAAAGAAGUAUAAAGACUGACACCUGCCCGGUGCUGUAAGGUUACACGGAGAUGCUAUGGCAUUGAAGUUAAGCCCCAGUAAACGGCGGCUGUAACUCUGACGGUCCAAAGGUAGCGAAAUUCCUUGUCGGGUAAGUUCCGACCUGCAUGAAUGGUGUAAUGAUUUCUCCGCUGUCUCCAACACAAUCCUGGUGAAUUUGAAAUACCCGUGAAGAUGCGGGUUAUUUACAGUUAGACGGGAAGACCCCGUGCACCUUUACUAUAAUCUUAAGUUGUGAAAUUGAAUAUUCUGUGUAGAAUAGGUGGGAGCGUAAGCAACAGUGAAAUACCAUCCUUAAUUUUUGAUUUCACUCAAUUUUUAUUAUUAAAAAGACAGCUUGUGAGAGGUAGUUUGACUGGGGCGGUCGCCUCCUAAAGAGUAACGGAGGCGUACAUAAGGCAAACUCAAAUAAAAAUUUAUUGGAGAGCGUAAUGGCAUAUGUUUGCUUGACUGUAAGAUAUACUUAUCGAACAGGGAUGUUAUAGUCGGUCAUAGUGAUCCGGUGGUUCUGUGUGGAAAGGCCAUCGCUCAACGAAUAAAAGGUACGCCGGGGAUAAC